rnacentral:rRNA from 1 species
GAUGAACGCUGGCGGUGUGCUUAACACAUGCAAGUCGAACGAGCUUUAUCACUACGAUCCCUUCGGGGUGACGGUUUUAAAGCGAGUGGCGGACGGGUGAGUAACGCGUGGAUAACCUGCCAUACACUGGGGGAUAACAGCUGGAAACAGCUGCUAAUACCGCAUAAAACUGUAGAGUCGCAUGACUUUAUAGCCAAAGCUCCGGCGGUGUAUGAUGGAUCCGCGUCUGAUUAGGCAGUUGGCGGGGUAACGGCCCACCAAACCGACGAUCAGUAGCCGACCUGAGAGGGUGACCGGCCACAUUGGGACUGAGACACGGCCCAGACUCCUACGGGAGGCAGCAGUGGGGAAUAUUGCACAAUGGAGGAAACUCUGAUGCAGCGACGCCGCGUGAGCGAUGAAGUAUUUCGGUAUGUAAAGCUCUAUCAGCAGGGAAGAUAAUGACGGUACCUGACUAAGAAGCUCCGGCUAAAUACGUGCCAG